UAUAUGCUUGUCUCAAAGAUUAAGCCAUGCAUGUCUGAGUACAGACCGAUCUAAGGUGAAACCGUGAAUGGCUCAUUAAAUCAGUCAUAAUUCCUUGGAUAGUGAAAAACUUUCCUCGGAUAACUGUGGAAAAUCCAGAGCUAAUACGUGCAACUGAGCUCCGACCUCGGCGCGAGUCGUGGGAAGAGCGCAUUUAUUAAUUUCAAAACUGACCGGUGUACUCCUUCGGGAUACGCCGUCCAUUAAUUGUUUUUGAUGACUCCGGAUAACUUAGCCGAGCGCUACGGUCUUUAGUACCGGCGCCGUAUCUUUCAAGUGUCUGCCUUAUCAGCUUUCGAUUGUAGGUUAAAUGCCUACAAUGGCUGUAACGGGUAACGGGGAAUCAGGGUUCGAUUCCGGAGAGGGAGCCUGAGAAACGGCUACCACAUCUAAGGAAGGCAGCAGGCACGCAAAUUACCCACUCCUAGCCCAGGGAGGUAGUGACGAAAAAUAACGAUUCCUGACUCACUUGAGGACUCGAAUCGGAAUGAGUCCAUUAUAAAUGUAUGGACGAGGAUCAAUUGAAGGGCAAGUCUGGUGCCAGCAGCCGCGGUAAUUCCAGCUUCAAUAGCGUAUAUUAAUGUUGCUGCGGUUAAAAAGCUCGUAGUUGGAUCUACUAGACCAUUUUGUGGGCGAGUAGCUCUUUGUAUUAGUUACUCUCGUCUAGUAACUCGAUUUCGUCUCUCGUGCUGUGUGCUUGAUAAUUCUACUUCUCUCCGGAGUUGUUAGGGUUUCCACAUAUGCGUCGGGUUACAGAAUCUUGCGGACGGCGAGAGUUGGCUAUGAUCGAGUACAGCUCGUCCGCGUUUGGUAAAAUUAAAAUUAUGUCGGCUCGCUCGGAGUGCUCUUUAUCGAGUGUUCCAGGGUGGCUGACACGUUCACUUUGAAAAAAUUAGAGUGCUUAAAGCAGGCCUUAUCAAAUGGCCCAAAUGUCUGUACAUKGAAUGAAAUAACAGGACCUCGAUUCUGUUGUUUUGUCGGUUUUAAUGAACCGAGGUAAUGAUUAAAAGGGACAGACGGUGGCAUUAGUAUUGCGACGCUAGAGGUGAAAUUCUUGGACCGUCGCAAGACUAACUACUGCGAAAGCAUUUGCCAAGAAUGUUUUCAUUAAUCAAGAACGAAAGUUAGAGGAUCGAAGGCGAUCAGAUACCGCCCUAGUUCUAACCCUAAACUAUGCUAACUAGCGAUCCGCCGGAGUCAUUCCCACGACCCGGCGGGAAGCCCCAGGGAAACCAAAGUCUUUGAGUUCCGGGGGAAGUAUGGUUGCAAAGAUGAAACUUAAAGGAAUUGACGGAAGGGCACCACCAGGAGUGGAGCCUGCGGCUUAAUUUGACUCAACACGGGAAACCUCACCAGGCCCAGACAUCAUAAUGAUUGACAGGUUGAGAGCUCUUUCUCGAUUUGAUGGGUGGUGGUGCAUGGCCGUUCUUAGUUGGUGGAGUGAUCUGUCUGGUUGAUUCCGAUAACGAACGAGACUCUACCUUACUAACUAGUCGGCGGAUUGUUACCCUGAGAUAGUUAGUCGGUAUAGGAGAGAUUUAACCGAGGUAUUGUUCAUGCAUGAUUGUGACGGUUUUAACUUUAGUUAACUCCUAAGCUUUCGUGUGUGGCUUUGUCCGAAGUUGMWCUMUGAUUACUACUGCUACUGGGGGCGUCCGCCGCAAUAUAUCUUCUUAGAAGGAUCAGCUGCGUAUAGCAGUACGAGAAAGAGCAAUAACAGGUCUGUGAUGCCCUUAGAUGUUCUGGGCCGCACGCGCGCUACAAUGUAAGGACCAGCGCGCUUUUCCCCCUCCGAAAGGAAAGGGUAACCGCUGAAAGCCAUACUCGAUAGGGAUUGGGGAUUGCAAAUAUUUCCCAUAAACGAGGAAUUCCCAGUAAGCGUGAGUCAUCAACUAGCGUUGAUUACGUCCCUGCCCUUUGUACACACCGCCCGUCGCUACUACCGAUUGAAUGAUUCGGUGAGGGCAUCGGACUGGCGCCUUCGGUUUUGAAACAUAGACUCUAGGCUGACGGAAAGAUGUCCGAACUCGAUCAUUUAGAGGAAGUAAAAGUCGUAACAAGGUUUC
rnacentral:rRNA from 1 species